AGAGUUUGAUCCUGGCUCAGGACGAACGCUGGCGGCGUUAACACAUGCAAGUGGAGCGACGAACCGGGCUUCGGCCCGGGGAAAGCGCGAACGGGUGAGUAACACGUGGGUAACCUGCCCCGUUGACCGGGACAACCCGAGGAAACUCGGGCUAAUACCGGAUGAGCUCGGUUCCCACCAGGGAAACGAGGAAAGGAAGCUUCGGCCUCCGCAUCGGGAUGGGCCCGCGGCCCAUUUAGCUUGUUGGUGGGGUAAUGGCCUACCAAGGCUGCGAUGGGUAGCUGGUCUGAGAGGACGAUCAGCCACACUGGGACUGAGACACGGCCCAGACUCCUACGGGAGGCAGCAGUGGGGAAUCUUGCGCAAUGCGCGAAAGCGUGACGCAGCAACGCCGCGUGCGGGAAGACGGCCUUCGGGUUGUAAACCGCUUUCAGUUGGGACGAAGCCUCGUCGGUGAACAGCCGGCAGGGGUGACGGUACCUUCAGAAGAAGCCCCGGCUAACUACGUGCCAGCAGCCGCGGUAAUACGUAGGGGGCAAGCGUUGUCCGGAAUCAUUGGGCGUAAAGCGCGUGUAGGCGGCCAGGUAAGUCCGUUCUGAAAGCCCGGGGCUCAACCCCGGGAGGCGGAUGGAUACUGCUUGGCUCGAGUCCGGAAGAGGCGAGUGGAAUUCCCGGUGUAGCGGUGAAAUGCGCAGAUAUCGGGAGGAACACCAAUGGCGAAGGCAGCUCGCUGGGACGGUACUGACGCUGAGACGCGAAAGCGUGGGGAGCAAACAGGAUUAGAUACCCUAGUAGUCC
rnacentral:rRNA from 1 species